UGGGAGAGGAUAAGGUGUAGGUAGCAUACUGAUGGAGAGGAUAAGGUGUAGGUAGCAUACUGAUGGAGAGGAUAAGGUGUAGGUAGCAUACUGAUGGGAGAGGAUAAGGUGUAGGUAGCAUACUGAUGGAGAGGAUAAGGUGUAGGUAGCAUACUGGUGGGGGAGGACAAGGUGUUGGUAGCAUACUGAUGGGGGAGGACAAGCUGUUGGUAGCAUACUGGUAGAGGGGAUAAGGUGUUGGUAGCAUACUGGUAGAGGGGAUAAGGUGUUGGUAGCAUACUGAUAAGGAAGAAUAAGGUUCAGCAAGAACAGUGAUGUGUGAGGAAAGGCUAAGGUGUACAUAUUAUAAUGAUGGGGGACGAUAAGGUAAAGGUUUCAUACUGAUAGGUGAGGAUAAGGUGUAGAUAGCAUACUGGUGGGGAGGAUAAGGUGUAGGUAGCAUACUGAUGGGGAGGAUAAGGUGUAGGUAGCAUACUGAUGGGAGAGGAUAAGGUGUAGGUAGCAUACUGAUGGGGAGGAUAAGGUGUAGGUAGCAUACUGGUGGGGGAGGAUGAGGUGUAGGUAGCAUACUGACGGGGGAGGAUUAGGUGUAGAUAGCAAACUGAUGGGGGAUGAUAGGGUGAUUCCUAUUAUCCUAAGGUAUAUGUCAGGAUGAAAUUAUAGAAUCUUACAU
ensembl:lncRNA